AGUUUUGCACAGUGGCAGUAUCGUAGCCAAUGAGGUUUAUCCGAGGCGCGAUUAUUGCUAAAUGAAAACUUCUCCCAGUCAUGUAGUGUGAGAAUAGGGACAAUUUUAUUUCUUUUCCAAUCUUUUGUAUGCUUUUUAUUUC